UCGUGCGAGCUGCGUCGAUGUGUUUGUUUGAUCGUGUGUUAUUAGGUUUGCUGUAAUGAAAUGAGACGUAGUUCGCGAGCACGAAAGUGCCAGAAGAUGGCUUGAGUCUCGCUGUAAGCACGCCGUAUGCGUGGCGCGCCGGCUAAAUGUGGACCAACGAUUUUCAUGCCAUGGAGUGCGUUCCCUUUGUCUCCGCUUGUGUUCGUGGAAAGUUUGGUGGACGGCGCAAAGAAGUAAUGCGUAUUAUUAGCGCGCCUCAGCUCGUCCACUACCCAGUGGCUUGUUUGCUGCAAGUAACAUCGCAGACGCAUCACUGGAAACUUGGAGAGUGCCUUUCGACCUCGUCGUACUGUUGAAACGUGGCGAGGCCGUGACCCACAACAUAAACUACAAGAUCGAGGAGCCCCAAGAAAUGCAGACCCUGUGGAUAUAUGGCUGCAGCAGCAUGGCGUGUGAUCUGGAUGGUCAUGACAGGCUCCACCGUCGCCGUUACUAGACGGACCAAAUGAGGCCAAAAACUAGCCUUUCCUCGCUCCAUUCCUGGGAAGUGAAAUAGCAGGUGGUCAUGUAAGAAUGAACUUGCAACCAUGUGGGCAGUAGCCAAAGCUCCCUACAGUUCAUGCUGGUGGUGGAAUGCUAAGACAAACCGCAAUAUUUGUUUGUUUACUUAUUCACUUAAUAUUUAUUUAUUCAUAUCUCAUGAAUACUGUGCAGUUUUUUUAGCAAGGAGUCAGGUAAAAUAAAGAAAUAUUGUUGCAUCAAAGUAAACAUUAUUUGAAAAAGCAUAAUUCACGUAGCACGAAUUCAUGGAAACUGUAAAUUUUGAAGAAACAGAGCAGUAAGGUUAACAAAUCUUAUAUAACAAAAAAUGAGAUCACAUUUCUGUUGGACCUAAUACCAUAAUUUAAUCUGUCAAAUUAGAGAUACCAUAUGCUGCUCUAAUAUACAAUCACUAAUUUAUGAGCAGAUGCGCGAAACUCUCAAACGUUGCAACAAUUUCAUGUAAGCUGUAAAUUCAUAUAUACAGUUUGUUGACUUUAGACAUAGCAGAUGGAGUCUGCAGAACUAUGAUAUCUCUUUCUGGCACAGAGACGGGGAUUAGUAAGCUUCGUGGUGUUAUUUUUCUUAAACCUGCCAAAUAGUUCUUCCUGCAACAGGUAGAAUUCUCAAAUGCCGCAAACUUAAUUCAAAUUAGUGCUGUGGUUGUCUCAAAAAUAUUUCUGUAUUUUGGAUGUAUUUGAGUAGGAAAAUUUACAGAAUUAACGAAUUUGUGCUAGCUCUUUUUUUAUUUACCGUUGCAAACUAAGUCCUUUUCCUUCAAGUUUUGCUAUUUUCAGAAAAUUUUAAUGAAAAUUGAUGGUGUUAAUGUAAAAACUAUUAUUUAAACAUUUUUAAAUGUAUCAAACCUCAUCAAAUUUGGUUGCAUAGUUGCCGAGAAAAACGAUUUUACUGUUCAUGUGCAUUACAUAGGAGCUCCUGAGCUAAAUCUCUUUUUUAGUCAUUGCGUGUGUCGGUCUGGUUUGUAUUUCUCACCCUAAUUAGAAUAUUGGCUCUGAUCUCAAAAUUGUUUCCCUUACAACGAAAUACAAGCUCUUAAACUUUUUACGAUAUAUGCUCUACUGCUCUAUGAUAACCCCUGUUUGCCACAUUUUUGCAGGGCCUACCAGUGCUAAUUUUACACAUAAACAUAGACUAAAAUGCCGUGUGGUUUCGGUAUAUGGUGUACUUAUCUGUGAAAGCCAUUAUUUGCCACAUUUUUGCAGCGACUGCCAGUGUUAUUUUUGCUCAGACUAAAAUGCUGUGUCGUUUCGUCAGGCUAACACAACAUUGGAGUGCACAUUCAUAUCAGUCUAUUUUCAGGCUUUAGUAUCCAAACAUUUAAUGUGCACUGCUGGAACAGGCACUCCUUUUGCAGUUUUAAUGGUAUGGUUUCUUGUCCUAGUCAAGCCUGUUAUUGCGAGGUGUCAACUGUAAUCAAGUCUGCCACUGAUUCUUUUACCUCAUGUUUCGUGUGUUUGCACCACCAGCUUGACCUGAGAAGCAUGUUGGCAGCUACAGUUUGUGUGUUGCAAGUUCUAGUCUGAAGUGUGUAUGUCACAUAUAUGAAGCAUGUAUCUAGUCUGAAGUGCAAUAAACAUUUCAAACUGAAUACUUUGUGGUUGUAGCACCAAUUAUUUUGCCACUGCAUUUACUGUAGUCCUUAUUGCCUACAGUAGAACUUUGGUAAAUUGCAAGUACUUUACACACAUCGGCCUAGCUUUUAUAGGCAUUUGC